rnacentral:rRNA from 1 species
UACGGGGGGGGCAAGCGUUGUUCGGAAUUACUGGGCGUAAAGGGCUCGUAGGCGGCCAACUAAGUCAGACGUGAAAUCCCCAGGCUCAACCUGGGAACUGCGUCUGAUACUGGAUGGCUUGAAUCCGGGAGAGGGAUGCAGAAUUCCAGGUGUAGCGGUGAAAUGCGUAGAUAUCUGGAGGAAUACCGGUGGCGAAGGCGGCAUCCUGGACCGGCAUUGACGCUGAUGUGCGAAAGCGUGGGGAGCAAACAGG